rnacentral:lncRNA from 1 species
ACAUAUCACUGUAUGCUUCCCACAGAGGGUUAACGCUCCUGCUGAACCGGAUGUGAUUCCUGCUCCGUUUCAGUGUUGUCGUUGCACGGCCAAUGGCGGACGGAGCCUGAGCAUUUGUCUGAAAAACGUACGUUUUGCACAAAUAUACUCGAAUAUCGAUAGGCCAGUCAAAGCUUUCAGAUCGCACGCGUGUUUUUGGCCCUGAUCAGAUUUGCGCCCAUCAGCAUGGAUGUGAAUUUGACCAUCUCUCUGAUGCGGGGCCAGAUGGGCGCUGUUAUUGAGAAAGCCGUGAACGUCGCGGUGGAGACCGUGCUAGGCGAGAUGAUCCGGGUGGUCGGGCUCAAAUUUGAGGAGAUCAAACGUGACAUGACAGCUAAAGAGAAGGAGAAUGAGAACAUCAGGAGGAUGUUGGAGGCGUCUCGCUGUCAGAUGAAAACCAUGCGCAAGUACAUCAGCGUCCUGUCUGCUAAAGACCCCAACCAUAGACUGUGUCAGGGAGAUGGAGACAUGGCAACAACAUCCACAGGGAUGCACUGCAGAAGAGGGCCGACGAGCACUGUGUCAGUGUGUGCCAAAACCCCAGACCCCUGUCCCAGACCCAGAGUCUCUGAACCAGCCCCUGUAGCUGCCCCCUCAUGGGUGAGGCUGAGACAGCAGAUGCACAUGUCCAAAGAAACAUUAAGAAGUGAGAAUCACAUUGCUGAUGUCCAUAUUGAAGAGAUCCAUGGAUCAUCAGUUCAUAAAGUUGAGAUCUCAAGCCCUCAUCUGGUGGACAGCCAGGUGCUUCUGUCUGAGACCAGUGAUCCAGUAUGGGGUCAGAACCCUCUCGUCUCUGCAGAGACUGGGCACACAGACAUGCCAGACAGCAGCGUCCUCUCUGCACCCAUGAUGGCAGAUGAAAGUGUGUCAUCCCAAACUACAAGCACAGUGGCAUUUGGAGCACCUUCACUUAAAAUCAAACAGGAGGAAGCGGAGGUUGAAAUAGUCUGUGUGAAGGAUGAACACGCAGAAGCUGGCAGCAUCCCUAGAUUUGAAUAUUCCGACCCUGAACUUCACCAGCAAGUGGGAGAACCAGAGCUCGGGGUCUCACUAGAUCUACCCGCAUCAUUUCAGGCUCUUCAGAGUCCAGGCACUUCAGCAGACCUUGCAAUCCCAGCAUUCAUGAGUGUGGACCCAACUACCUUCAUUCCAUGAUGGGGAUCACAAGAGAAAUGCAUCAACAUGAACAGGUGAGUCUAGCUGCUUUACUUGAACUUUAAAGGUCACUCUGAC